AUUAUUAAGCGGAGGAAAAGAAAGCAAAAGCGAUUCCCAAAGUAACGGCGAGUGAACAGGGAUAAGCCUAGCGCUAAGGAUCAAUGUGAUUUUGGCCUAGUAGUUGGGGCAACUUGGCCACUAGUCAGAGUCAACACACAGCAUUGAUCGGUGCAGCGUUACAAACUUUAGUGUUUAGUAAUAUCAAUGGUAUAUUGGUAGCAAUAUUGGUAUACCUCCUUUAGCCUAGGAUGCAAGUCCCAUUGACUUGGGCUUAUCUUCCAAUUGAGAUGACUAUAGUGUUGGGGCAACUUGACACUAUGGGUUGAGCCAUAGAGGGUGAAAGUCCCUUAACGUCCAGGUAUUGAUAUUACGAACUAGAGAGCCAGCAAUGGCAUUUUGUUAGAGUCGGGUUGCUUGAGAGUGCAACCUAAAGAGCGAGGUAAACUGCUCGUAAGGCUAUUAGGAGUAAUAUCGCUAUGACACCGAUAGCAAACAAGUACCGUGAGGGAAAGUUGCAAAGUACUUUGAAGAGAGAGUUAAACAGGGCGUGAAACCGCUAGCUGGUAAACGAGUAGAGCCACGAAGUCGUUUCGUAGAAUAAGAGAUACAGAUUCAGUUAAGGUUGGCGCAAGUUGGCUUUGGUGCAUUUCUGUUCAUCUCUCUAUGUAUAUGCGUACACUGCAACCAAUUAGACGAUCAAUUGUGGAAAUAGCUAGCCUACAUUGGGAGAAAUCUUAGUGUUAGUUAGCGGAAAUGCUUAUAUACUGCCUUCCGUAGGUUGUUCGAUUUGAUCCUCGUGGUCAUCUUGAGCGUAUGAUGGGGUGGUAUGAGAGCUACGAUUGAAUACUGAUUGGCACAAUGAAAAUCCAUUCGCAAGAAUGGUCCCAGAUAACACUACCUGUGUCGUAUGUGUGUACAAGUGUUUAUUAUUAGCGUAAGCUUGGUAGUUUUAAAUUUAGACUGGUGGGCUAUCUUUGGUUUCGGCCCUUGAUGCCUAUUCAGCUUUCUAUCUAAUUGGCUAUCAACUUUGCUAGUAAUCUUGUGCUUGCCAAUGGUAGCAUGCAUGCGACAAUGGGCAAGUAAUCUUAUUGGCAGUGAGUAGGUCGGCUUUCUACACGACCCGUCUUGAAACACGGACCAAGGAGUCUAGUUAAGUAUCGAGUUGAUCGGUCUUGAUUAGGCCAGAAUGGGAAUUUCGUAUUCCCGAUUGAAAGCAAAGUGAAAUCAAAUUAUGUGAUCCUAUGUCUCCUUCAAAGCAAGGACUAUAGGCGCAACAUAUACCCACUCGUAUGACUAUACGCGCAAGUGUUAGUUGGGUGGCGUAAAGAGAUACUUGACUGGUACCCGAAAGAUGGUGAACUAUGCCUGGGCAAAUUGAAGCCAGAGGAAACUCUGGUGGAGGAUUGUAGCGAUUCUGACGUGCAAAUCGAUCGUCAGACCUGGGUAUAGGGGCGAAAGACUAAUCGAACCAUCUAGUAGCUGGUUCCCUCCGAAGUUUCCCUCAGGAUAGCUAGUACUUGUUUUUAUGUAGUUUCAUCUGGUAAAGCGAAUGAUUAGAGGCCUUGGGAACGAAACGUUCUCAACCUAUUCUCAAACUUUAAAUGGGUGAGAUAUAUGACAUGCUUAAUUGAUGCCAUAAUAUCCUAGAAUACGUUAAGUACUAAGUGGGCCAUUUUUGGUAAGCAGAACUGGCGAUGCGGGAUGAACCGAAAGUGAAGUUAAAGUUGCCGAUACCUAGACAGAAUUUUUCUAAACAAAUUGUCUAUACUACACUCAUGAGAUCCCAUGAAAGGUGUAAGUUGCUAAAGACAGCAAGGAGGUGGCCAUGGAAGUCGGAAUCCUCUAAGGAGUGUGUAACAACUCACUUGCCGAAGCAACUUGCCCUGAAAAUGGAAGCAGCUCGAGUGUUGAACUUAUACUUCACCGUUGGGAUAACAAUUUGCCUCUCAUAUAUGCGAUAAGUUAUAUCCCAACGUGUAGGAGGGUUGUGUUGUUCGUGCUGAAGGCUAUGAGGGCGUGAGCCUGGCUGGAACGGACAAUAGURCAGAUCUUGGUGGUAGUAGCAAAUACUCAAGUGAGACCCUUGAGGGCCAAUGUGGAGAAGGGUUCCAUGCUAACAGCAAUUGAACAUGGGUCAGUCGGUCCUAAGAGAAUGGCGAAAGCUAUUUCUGAAUCAAAGGUUGUCUUUUACCAAAUAUAAAAAAAAAGAACAACAUGACUCGAAAGGGAAUUAGGUUAAUAUUCCUAAACCAAGAUGGGGAGAUUAUUAACUAGUGGGCUAGCCUAACAACUAGAAUGCUAUUAAUAUUGGCGGUAACGCAAACAAGCACGAUGACGCCGACGGCAGCCUGGGGAAGAGUUGUCUUUUCUUUGUAAGUUUACUGUGUUUUCUCAACGAGACCUUGGAAUCGAAUCAAUCGAAGAUAAGGUUGUAGUAAACGUAAAGCAAUGCGGUUCUAGCAUUGUCCCAUGAGCUGUCUUUGGCCCUUGAAAAAUCGUGUAAGCGGAGCUAUUAUGG
rnacentral:rRNA from 1 species